GCGCCCGUAGCUCAUCUGGAUAGAGUAUCGGACUACGAAUCCGAGGGUAGCAGGUUCGAAUCCUGCCGGGCGCACCA
rnacentral:tRNA from 1 species